CUGUUCCCUUGCUGUCGAGACAACAACUGAACAGUUAAAAGUCUAGAGUAUGCAGAUUGUAUCAAUAUUGAGAAGUUCCUGCCUGCAUGUUUCUGAAGCAGUUUUGGCUGUUUUCUCCCCAGCUUGGCCUUGUCCGUCCCUCCUGACUUAUGUGGCAGCAAAUGCUCUUUCUGAGCCGUAGGAGAACCCAGCAAUGUUUUACCAGAUCCUUCUUCAGAUCUGCC
rnacentral:lncRNA from 1 species